GCCUUAUUAAUCAUUUUACAUAUCAACAACAAUAGUUAAAUAUAUUUUAACCAAACACUUAACAUAAAUUAGCUUCAUUAGCUAUUAGCUACCAGCUAUCAGCUAUCAACUAAUAGUAAUAUCUAUCAGUUAACAGUUAUCUAUCUAUCAGUUAACAGUAAUCAGCUGUAUUCAAACAAAUCCUUAGGGUUGUUUAGUUUUCUUAAAGGUAAAUUUAUUAUUUAACCCUAAUAUUGUAUGAUUAAUAACACUUGAGUCCUUAUAUUUUAGAAAUUAAACUAUUUAGUUCCCUAGUUUUGCUUUUAUAACACACUUAAGAUCGUUCCAUCCAUUUUAGACAUUAAUAUUUAAGAUAAAUUACUACUUUAUCUUCGGAUAUUACAAUUAUUUAUAGUUUCAUUCCUUAGAUUUACAAUUAUUUACAAUUUCAUUCAUCAGUUUCAUCUCUUCAUCUCCCUCGCCAUCUCUCUACCUACUCCAUUUCUGUCUCUUUCCCUCUCUCUAUCUCUCUCCAUUUUCCAUCUCUCCCUCU
rnacentral:misc_RNA from 1 species